CGGCGGACGGGUGGGUAACGCGUGGGUAACCUGCCUCAUACAGGGGGAUAACAGUUGGAAACGGCUGCUAAUACCGCAUAAGCGCACAGUACCGCAUGGUACCGUGUGAAAAACUCCGGUGGUAUGAGAUGGACCCGCGUCUGAUUAGCUAGUUGGUGGGGUAACGGCCUACCAAGGCGACGAUCAGUAGCCGACCUGAGAGGGUGACCGGCCACAUUGGGACUGAGACACGGCCCAA
rnacentral:rRNA from 1 species